CUACCGGCGUCGCGAGGCGUCGGGACGGGCGGGCAGAAGUCAGCCGAGUGCAUAGUAGGUCCCCCGACCGGACUGAAGGCC
rfam:Desulfohalobium retbaense DSM 5692, complete genome.